UGGGGAAUCUUGGUCAAUGGGCGCAAGCCUGAACCAGCGACGCCGCGUGAGUGAUGAAGGCCUUCGGGUUGUAAAGCUCUGUGGGGAGGAAAGAAAAAACCAAGUCGAAUAGGCUUGGGAAUUGACGGUACCUCCUUAGCAAGCACCGGCUAACUCUGUGCCAGCAGCCGCGGUAAGACAGAGGGUGCAAACGUUGCUCGGAAUUACUGGGCGUAAAGCGCGUGUAGGCGGAUAGGCAAGUCCGGCGUGA
rnacentral:rRNA from 1 species